UACGUGGGGUGCAAGCGUUGUUCGGAAUUAUUGGGCGUAAAGAGCUUGUAGGCGGCUUGUCGCGUCUGCUGUGAAAUUUCGGGGCUCAACCCCGAACUUGCAGUGGGUACGGGCAGACUAGAGUGUGGGAGGGGAGACUGGAAUUCCUGGUGUAGCGGUGAAAUGCGUAGAUAUCAGGAGGAACACCGAUGGCGAAGGCGGGGCACUGGGCCGCUACUGACGCUGAGAAGCGAAAGCAUGGGGAGCGAACGGG
rnacentral:rRNA from 1 species